rnacentral:rRNA from 1 species
UACGUAGGGGGCGAGCGUUAUCCGGAUUUACUGGGUGUAAAGGGAGCGCAGACGGAUGAUCAAGUCAGAUGUGGAAGCCCCGGGCAUAACUCGGGGAGUGCAUUUGAAACUGGUGAUCUGGAGUGCUGGAGAGGUAAGCGGAAUUCCUGGUGUAGCGGUGAAAUGCGUAGAUAUCAGGAAGAACACCGGUGGCGAAGGCGGCUUACUGGACAGUAACUGACGUUGAGGCUCGAAAGCGUGGGGAG